rnacentral:tRNA from 1 species
GGGCCCGUAGCUCAGCGGUAGAGCAUUCGGCUCAUAACCGACAGCGCGCUGGUUCGAAUCCGGCCGGGCCCACCA